GUAAAAUAUUAAAAUAUUUUUUAUAAUAUUCAAUAAUUUAAAAAGUUUAUCCAAAAACAUUAGAUUAACUGAAAAGAUUAUCCAAAAAUCUUAAAUCAAGGCCACAGUGCCUAAACCAGGUGAGGUGAGUAAUAAGUUAUCAAACUACUGUAUCAAGGCAGACCUUAGAAGUUCAAUGUCCUGAAAAUCCUUCAGGACUUUAUGUAUCCACGUGGACACCUAGUCAAUGUGUGUUGGCUGCCCUCAUAGGUAAAUGCCAAUACAUGUUGGGUUUCCUUUUGUAAGGAAAUAGGAAAGAAGGCUUAAAAUGGAUUAUAAUAUAAAAAGAAUCAGUGUCCGUGAUUGUAGCUGGAUUAGGAAUCAGUAGACAAAUGGGUCCUACAAUAGCAUUAAUGGCUCUGCAAUCUUGAAUAAAGUGGUUCUAGUGAUACUGCCCUUCAGUGGAGGAUUUCUUGAUGGUAUGGUGUUUUAAAGGCCGAAUUGUUGUAUUGAUCUAAUAAAUGUUGUAUAAUGAGAAUAAUUCUCUUUAGUGAUUCCUGAAUAAGAGGGUAUGUGAUAUUUUGGGCACUUAAACAUUAUUACUGGUCCAGCUGAGGGGAUUUGUCCUAUCAUAGUAGAUGGUAAUCAUUGCAAAAUUGCCUCAUCUUUGGAUGCCAUUAUUAGGCAAGAGUUGUAAUCACUAGAGACAAAUAUUGGUUCCAAAGUGUCAUUCACCAAAUCAUGAUGUACAUCAGCGAUGACUUGAUAGAUCCCAUCAGGAGGGUAUUAAAUCAGUCCAACUUUGAUAAUAGAUUUUUGCCUAAAAGUGUGUAGGGGCAUGUGAAGCUUAAUAAUAAGGAUUUUUCUUCUUUUCAUUAGUGGAAUAUUAAUUUAGAUAGUUUGCUGAAGAGUGUUGAGGACAAUAUUGUUAGAUGUGUCAAUCAAAAAGGAUUCAUUUUGUUAUUCAGUUCCCAAGUUACAAUGGGACUUUCUUUGUUUACAGUAACUAGCAGUGCACAUGGUUCAUUAUGUCAUUGUGAAUCAGCAAGAGCAUUCAGACAGAAAGGGGAGAGAGGGGGAGGAAAAAUAUAUUAACUGUCUCCUUCCUUUUUUAGUCUCUCCUGUUGUGUAUCCAUCCCAUCUUGUUGUAAGGUUCUGAACUCUUGGGCAAAGAGACCAAUCUUCCAUACAUGAAACAUUAUCCUUGGUGUAUUACUUUUAACCCUUCCCCAGAUUCUUCCGUGUGACUUUCCUGUUAUAGAACUUUAAAGGGACACUAUAGUCACCAAAACAACUUUACCUCAAUGAAACAGUUUGUGUACAGUGGUGCAUAGAUCAUGUACCUGCAGUCUGACUGCUCAAUUCUCUGUCAUUUAGGAGUUAAAUCACUUUGUUUAUGAACCCUAGUCACACCUCCCUGCAUGUGACUUGCACAGUCUUCAUAAAUACUUCCUGUAAAGAGUCAUCUAAUGCUUAUCCUUCCUUUAUUGCAAGUUCUGUUUAAUUUAGAUUUUCUUAUCCCCUGCUAUGUUAAAAGCCUGCUAGAACCUGCAAGAGCCUCUUGUAUGUGAUUAAAGUUCAAUUUGCAGUGAAAGAGAUACAAUUGUUUAGCGUAAAUUACAUCUGAUUGAAAGUGAAACCAGUUUUUUUUUUCAUGCAAGCUGUGUCAAUCAGGUGUGGCAAUAGUUGCAGAAACAGAAACAAAGUGACUUAACUCCUAAAUGGUAGUGAACUGAGCAAUGAAACCUGAGAGGCAUGAUCUAUACAUGAAAACUGCUUCAUUAAGCUAAAGUUUUUUAGGUGACUAUAGUGUCCCUUUAACUAAGCAGCCAUAAGAUUUGAAUACAGGCAUUUCUUUUUGAUAGAAAUUAAUUUAACAUUGGCACCAAUGUAAUAUUCUUGGAUAAAUAUUUGUAAGUGUAUCCAAUAAUUGGCAAUGUCUACAGAUUUUGUAUAUGUAUCAACAAUAAAACCAAUAUAACACAUUACAA
rnacentral:lncRNA from 1 species